GCCCGACCACGACGACGCACCACACAAGGUACCUGCUCCCUAUCCUCUUCUCAUUCUGCUCUAACCUGCACCUAAAUUCAGACAAAGGCAACCUUUUUGACACAAUAUCUGAAGUGCAGUUUUGCCACUUGUACUCCCUCGGCAGUUAGUGGAGUACACCUGAGUACUCCACUGUUAUCUGAAUGUUUCCAGAUUACAUUAGAUGUGAUGUUUCUAGGCAAACUGUAAUCUGAAUUACGCCGUAAUCUGAAUGUUUCCAGGAAAAUAGUUUAAUGUUUCAAGGCAAAGAUUACACCGUAAUCCCGGAGUACUCUGCCGUGAUCUGAAUGUUUCCAGAUUGCCACUUGUAAUGUGUGUGAGUACUGAAUUUGCUCUAGAGUUCUUCUUAUCGAUUCAUCAGGCAGUACCGAUGGGGAGUAGUAGUGUGUUCUGUCACAUUUGACAUUAGAGUACUCUGAAUCUAGUGUACUCUGAAUUUAGUAAGGAGGUUCAGUUAGCACCGAACCUUAGCUAAGUAAAAGUUCAGUGAGUAGACUUUAGCUAAGUAAAAGUUCAGUGAGUAGACUUCUCUAAAUUUCAGAGUUCAUGUUACUGUACUGACUAAAUUUAGUUUGAAAAUUCAGUUUCUAUACUGAUGUUACGUCAGAAUUUAGUUGGGGUACGUGCACCAUUUGGAUGCUCAGUUGGAGUUUAGGAUUACAUGAGCUGUGUUCUAAAGCUACUCCAUGUUGACAUGUUUCUUAAACUUUCUUAAAAUUGAUGGAGUUGCUGUUUAUUCUGUUGUAAAUUGCUCAUGUCCAGAUUAGUGCCUGACCAGAGUACAACCAAAUUGCUAUAGUAAAUUGCUCCAAAUUACUCCUGCUCCUAUAAUGAAUUCAAAUACUCAAAAUAAAUUCAACUAAAUUCCAAUAAAUAUUCAAAAUAAAUUAUCUAGUUUAUUCAAAAUACCAUGACAUACACAUACACAUACACAUAGUCCAAUUGACAUACACAUAGAUCUUCCCUUUCCUUUCCUUUCCUUUCACAAGACAUACACAUACAUAUACUCCAAUUGGACUAGAUCUUCCCUUUCCUUUCCAUUCACAACACAUACACAUACAUAUACUCCAAUUGACAUACGCACAUUCUCCAAUUGACAUACACAUAGAUCUUUCCUUCACAUUCACAAGACAUUCCCUCUAUUGCCCUUCUUCUAUAAAGGCCCUGGUCUCAGCAACUAGCUGUGCAUCGCAAGAUAGAAAGAUUAUUGGCCUUCCCUCAUUUUGACGUCGAUCCUUGUGCAGGUGUGGGAGCUUGUAGUUAUUUCCUCCUUUGAUUUUCAUGACCUCAACCAUAACUCCUUGUAGUGUCACAAAGCUUCUAAAUAUUCUUUCCUCUUUCUGCCACUUCUUCUCUUCUUUUUAUUUGAGACAUCCACUUCUAGGCCUUCUGCAAUUUGUGUAUUUGCAACGGACCAUAUUCUUUCUACUGUUCGUACGGUUGUAUUCAACAGGGUUGCAACGAGUAGCUUGUCAUCUGGGCAAAUAUCUCCAUCUCUGCUCUGGAUUACUCUCAAGGCAAAAUAAACACCAAACCUUUGCUCAUUUCUCAGGUUUACUGCACUUCUUUUUUUUGCUUCCCCUUGAUCAAUUGCUUCCUCCUCAUGAAUAUCUUCGUCCUCAUGAAUUGCUUCUUGCUGAUCUCUUGGAGGACUGAAGUUGAGGUCCAGGAACAUAUCUCCUGAUGAAAAGGGGCAAGAAGCAAGUCAACUAGCUAUGCAGCCAAACCAUAGACACAUUCAAUUAACACUUAUUGAAACACUAACUGAAAAUCCGGUUAACACUAAUUUAAAAUUCUGUUAACACUGACUGAAAAUUCAGUUAACAUUUGCAGCAUGUUUACAGUAAAUUCACAGCAUGUUUGCCGUCAUAUUGUUGGAGUAUUUACCUGCUGCAUCAACCUCUUCCUGAUGAUGUUCCUCUUCCUGAUGAUUUUCAGGUACUCCAUCCUCCUCUUGUGGAGGAGUCAAGUUCAGAUCUGCCAUCUCUAUGGUGAUGAAUCUACUCGUGAGUAGCUUCCUGAAUUGAGGUAGAUCAUGAUCAUAAGCACACUAUGCACCAUUUGCUAUUGUUCUCACAACAAGGUCUAUGUAAACUGCAUCAUGCAUCAUGGAUUUAAAUGCUCUAGUUAAGUGUAAAUUGCAUCAUGCAUCAUGCUGCCUAUUAGCAAGUUGGAGUUAAAUGCAUCAUGUACCAUCAGAUUCUACUAAAUGCAUCAUGCACAACAUUAUCAUGCAUUAGUUUUGUUUGUUUGAGAAAAUACA
rnacentral:lncRNA from 1 species